rnacentral:rRNA from 1 species
GACGAACGCUGGCGGCGUGCUUAACACAUGCAAGUCGAACGGUGAAAGCGGAGCUUGCUCCGCUGGAUCAGUGGCGAACGGGUGAGUAACACGUGGGCAACCUGCCCCUCACUUCGGGAUAACUCCGGGAAACCGGGGCUAAUACCGGAUAUGACCUCCUUGGGCAUCCUUGGAGGUGGAAAGUUUUUCGGUGAGGGAUGGGCCCGCGGCCUACCAGCUUGUUGGUGAGGUAGUGGCUCACCGAGGCGACGACGGGUAGCCGGCCUGAGAGGGCGACCGGCCACACUGGGACUGGGACACGGCCCAGACUCCGACGGGAGGCAGCAGUGGGGAAUAUUGCGCAAUGGGCGAAGGCCUGACGCAGCAACGCCGCGUGCGGGAUGACGGCCUUCGGGUUGUAAACCGCUUUCAGCAGGGAAGAAGCCGCAAGGUGACGGUACCUGCAGAAGAAGCACCGGCUAACUACGUGCCAGCAGCCGCCGUAA